GUUAGCAAGCAUCUAGAGCUUAGGAGAGAUGCUUUUAGAUAUAAAUCCUGAUGAAAAAACACCCAACCAAACAACCCUAAAAUAAAUUAUGUAAGCAAGUAACAGCCAGCAGGUCACGCAAGACAGUUAACGUCCUCCAGAUAUAUUUGUACUCUAUGAAAAAUUCCCACUACAGAUCGAAUCUGCCCAGCCUGGAAAGCAGAAUCACGUUCCGACCUGGCGACUUUGAUUUUGAAAGGGGAGGGAUGAGGGAAAAACAGAGAGGGGAGAAAAAAGACAUUGGAUUGUGUCCCUAGAGAACAGUUUCCAAAUGUGGCCGCUCUAAUGAAGCAUCUAGAAUCUGCAUUUGGAGGCUGAAAAAUCACAGUGAUUGCAGCCCCCCCAGAUUGCUGCUGGCUGCAAAAUACAUAUCCAUUGUGUUUGCUUUCAUCGCUGCCUGAAGAAGGGAUUUAUGAGCAGGAUACCUGUUUUUGACGAGCAUACUAGUGAGGAGCUGAGCUGAAAGGGAGAGAGAAGAUGUAACAACACUUCUCUUCAGACGUCCAAUAAAACAGAAACUGUUGAACUGCUGCUGUUUUGUUCAUUGCAAUAAAGUUCCUUGUUCAGCAUUAAAAGGAAGUGAUUCUUACUAGUUUACCUCUAUUACCAUAUAUCAAAACUGUAUAAGCAGAAAUAGUCCGAUAAUGAGAAAAAUUACCUUUGAACAAGUAGCACAUAAAAAGAAAUA